rnacentral:lncRNA from 15 species
GAUUUAUACUGAACUAAAUAUACGUCCAAAGGACCCAAAACAAAGUUUUUGAUUUCUCUCAAUUUUCUUUUCUUUUCUUCAUGACCUGCAGGUAAUAUUUUUAGUUUGAGUCCAAUGUGAAUUGCGCACCGCACAGUCAGAGCACAUGUUAAGUCCCGUAUCUCUCUCGGCAUACCUCCUGGGUGGAUUUCGUCCAAAAAUAAACGUAAGUAGCAAAGCAGUUGCUGAUAAUUAAAGUUUCAGUGUUUUGUGUUGUCAAAAUUGCAAAGAAUAGCCCAAUUUAAGUACUUAAAUGGGGCGAUAGCUGGCUAGCGAGCAAGCAUUUACCGGUAACGUUAUGACCAUGAAUAAUAAUAAAUGUAUUUGUGUCGCGCUUUUACAAGUAUCGGUAACGUAAGCUAGCCAAAAGCCAUCGCUAGUCCAAUUGGGCUACAUUCAGGGUUAAACAGAUAUUGCGCCUGGAGAUUUGUUCAUUGCAGUUUGUAAACAAAACAUUCAGACUGGGCCCGUCCUCUCGGGCUCAACUGUGUAGCCUCCUGCCCCUGACAGCAACAGUUUAGGACCGGAAAGGAAAGGAAAUACAGUCCGAGUGAAGCGCUGGAGACGUGGGCCGAUAACAACGGGAGCCUCUUGGUUCUGUAUUAUGUGGUCUUCAGAGAGUAGUAAUUGUUUAUUUUAUUUUAUUUUGUAUGCUUUCAUAAACCACAAGGCCGCUCUCUUCAGUUUCCUGGCUGUAGCCUGUAUCUUCAUCCAACCUGAACAGUUAUCGGAUGUGGAAAUGCAAAGACUGCAGCCUGUCAUUUUCAGAACGAUCUGAGCUACUAAAACAAAAAAAGGCCGAUUGCCUAAUGUUAAUAUGUUGCAUAUGGUUCAUAUGUUAAAGAUUAAUAAAUACAUUUAACGUAAUCUGUUGGCCAAGUGUCUUUUUUUAUAGAGUUUAUAAGGUGGCAAACACAUUAUUUUUUAAGUUAAGUCAAAUAAAAUGUGAAAAAUAUAGUUUGGAUAUAUGUAAAUUAAUUAACUGGUGUCAAUUCAAACAUUAAUUCAUGUUAAUUCAGUUAAAAGUGAAUACAUUAGGUUGGUUCAAUUUCA